rnacentral:rRNA from 1 species
AGAGUUUGAUCAUGGCUCAGAACGAACGCUGGCGGCGUGGAUAAGACAUGCAAGUCGAGCGCUGAUUUCAAGGUAGCAAUAUUUUGAAGUCGGAGCGGCGCAAGGGUGCGUAACACGUGGGUAAUCUGCCAUGAAGUUUGGGAUAACUCGCUGAAAGGCGAGCUAAUACCGGAUGUGACAAUUGAGAGGCAUCUUCCGAUUGUCAAAGCUGGGGACCGUAAGGCCUGGCGCUUCUUGAUGAGCCCGCGGCCUAUCAGCUAGUUGGUGAGGUAACGGCUCACCAAGGCUAAGACGGGUAGCUGGUCUGAGAGGACGACCAGCCACACUGGAACUGAGACACGGUCCAGACACCUACGGGUGGCAGCAGUCGAGAAUUUUUCACAAUGGGCGCAAGCCUGAUGGAGCGACGCCGCGUGGGGGAUGAAUGGCUUCGGCCCGUAAACCCCUGUCAUUCGCGAUCAACCCUUAUUAUUUAAAAGAUGAUAAGCUGAUAGUAGCGGAAGAGGAAGGGACGGCUAACUCUGUGCCAGCAGCCGCGGUAAUACAGAGGUCCCAAGCGUUGUUCGGAUUCACUGGGCGUAAAGGGUGCGUAGGUGGUGAGGUAAGUCGGAUGUGAAAGCUCGGAGCUCAACUCCGAAAUGGCAUUGGAAACUACCUUGCUCGAGGGUUGGAGGGGGGACUGGAAUUCUCGGUGUAGCAGUGAAAUGCGUAGAUAUCGAGAGGAACACCAGUGGCGAAGGCGAGUCCCUGGACAACUCCUGACACUGAGGCACGAAAGCUAGGGGAGCAAACAGGAUUAGAUACCCCCGUAGUCC